GGACGGCGGGCAGCGAGCCGCGCCGCGCUUCGCCGGGGGAGCGACGGCGCGGGCAGGUUGUGCGGUGGGGACGGCGGGCCGUGAGAGCAGCUGUCAAGAGGGUGGAACAAGUUGUCACCUGUGUAAGUCCAGGAAAACAAUCCCUAUCACGGGCAGAGCCACACCAGAUAUGUCUGCCUGGAGUAACAGGGCUGAAGCUGCAGUUUGAUGAAAAGUAAUCUCUGUUUCUUCAUUGUGAAUCACCACAUAUACUUCUCUUUCUCACUCCCUCUCCCCAUCCUUGGUAUCAUCGGGCAUUUUGGGGCAAAUUUACGUUUUGAUGUAAAAGCUGGAGUCUCAAAACAUCAAAUUGUUCACAUGUAUAAGAGCACGAGAGUCAGGACUACUGAAUCUAGUUCUCUGGCACUUGUUCUGUGACCUUAGACAAAUGGGUAAUCGCCCUACUGUAAAAUAUCUGCUGUACAUUGGUGUUUUGGGGAAAAAAAAAAUCAAAACUAAUUAAAGUGUUUCUGAUCCUCAGGAAAACAUAGAGCAGAAUCACACAGCAUUAAUAAAGUCAUCUUGUUUUAUAAGA